UCUAAUAUGGCAGAUUAGUGUAUUGGAUUUAAACCCCAAAAAUAAAGUUUAUACUUUUUUUAGAA
rnacentral:tRNA from 1 species